rnacentral:rRNA from 1 species
UGGGGAAUAUUGCACAAUGGGGGAAACCCUGAUGCAGCAACGCCGCGUGCAGGAAGAAGGUCUUCGGAUUGUAAACUGUUGUCGCAAGGGAAGAAGACAGUGACGGUACCUUGUGAGAAAGUCACGGCUAACUACGUGCCAGCAGCCGCGGUAAUACGUAGGUGACAAGCGUUGUCCGGAUUUACUGGGUGUAAAGGGCGCGUAGGCGGACUGUCAAGUCAGUCGUGAAAUACCGGGGCUUAACCCCGGGGCUGCGAUUGAAACUGACAGCCUUGAGUAUCGGAGAGGAAAGCGGAAUUCCUAGUGUAGCGGUGAAAUGCGUAGAUAUUAGGAGGAACACCAGUGGCGAAGGCGGCUUUCUGGACGACAACUGACGCUGAGGCGCGAAAGUGUGGGGAGCAAACAGGAUUAGAUACCCUGGUAGUCCACACCGUAAACGAUGGAUACUAGGUGUAGGAGGUAUCGACCCCUUCUGUGCCGCAGUUAACACAAUAAGUAUCCCACCUGGGGAGUACGACCGCAAGGUUGAAACUCAAAGGAAUUGACGGGGGCCCGCACAAGCAGUGGAGUAUGUGGUUUAAUUCGAAGCAACGCGAAGAACCUUACCUGGGCUUGACAUCCCUGGAAUCGAGUAGAGAUACUUGAGUGCCUUCGGGAAUCAGGUGACAGGUGGUGCAUGGUUGUCGUCAGCUCGUGUCGUGAGAUGUUGGGUUAAGUCCCGCAACGAGCGCAACCCCUAUUGUCAGUUGCCAUCAUUAAGUUGGGCACUCUGGCGAGACUGCCGGUGACAAAUCGGAGGAAGGUGGGGACGACGUCAAAUCAUCAUGCCCCUUAUGCCCAGGGCUACACACGUACUACAAUGGCCGAUAACAAAGUGCAGCGAAACCGUGAGGUGGAGCGAAUCACAAAACUCGGUCUCAGUUCAGAUUGCAGGCUGCAACUCGCCUGCAUGAAGUUGGAAUUGCUAGUAAUCGCGGAUCAGAAUGCCGCGGUGAAUACGUUCCC